GACGAACGCUGGCGGCGUGCUUAACACAUGCCAGUCGAACGGAAAGGCCCUGCUUUUGUGGGGUGCUCGAUUGCCGAACGGGUGAGUAACACGUGAGUAACCUGCCCUUGACUUUGGGGUAACUUCAGGAAACUGGGGCUAUUACCGGAUAGAAGCUCCUGCUGCAUGGUGGGGGUUGGAAAGUUUCGGCGGUUGGGGCUGGUUUCGCGGCUUAUCCGCUUGUUGGUGGGGUAGUGGCUUACCAAGGCUUUGACGGGUAGCCGGCCUUGGAGGGUGACCGGGGUCAUUGGGCCUGAGGUACGGCGCAGACGCGUACGGGACGCAGCAGUGGGGAGCAUUGCACAAUGGCCGGAAGCCUGAUGCAGCGGCGCCGGGUUCGUGAUGACGGCUUUUGAGUGGUAAACCGCUUUCUACGGUGACGUAGCGUGAGUGACGGUAAUGGGUAAAGAAGCACCGGCUAACUACGUG
rnacentral:rRNA from 1 species